rfam:Arthrobacter sp. TCD-GKA scaffold_12, whole genome shotgun sequence.
UGCCGAGCACUGCCAGCCCACGGUGUCCGUUCAAAAACUCGUUUGGCAGUGGCGGGGGACCCACUUUCGGUUUCCACACCAGGAAGCCUUGGGGUUAAGUAGUUCGGCCUGGCGGCCGGAUUGCCGAGUGACUCCCACUCGAACCCGACAGCUCACCUCGCAGGCAUCAGGAGAGGCAUU